GAAACAGGCAGCAGACUGGAGCCCAGGAAGAGACUGGGCAGAGUGUGGCUGGGAGCCUGUACAGCUGCUCAGUUAUAGGAUGAAGAAGAGGACUUUGCACUGCUUACUAUCUCUCUACCUGCUGCAUGUGGUAUGAGAUGUGAACUCUCAGCUGCUCCUGCUGUCACGCCAGCCUGCUGUCAUGCUUUCCCACCAUCUGGAGAUGGACUCUGAUUCCUCUGGAAUGUUUCUGCCCCCAGUUUUCUGACCUGCUUGAGUCCCUGUCCUGACUUCCUUCGAUGAUGGACUAUGAGAGGCACACAAAGGAUAGUUUAAACAUUCAACCAGAUAACAGAAUAACAGCAGCGAGCCGAAAUGAGCAACCUGAAGUAAACCCACUCUUAUCCAAGACACCUGGGAGGAGCACACAACCACAUUCCAAGAACAGUCUGGUGUUUUGAAGAAAUGGAGGUCACAAGACUCUUGUCCUGUUUUCUUGGAGUGCUCUCAUAAGCACUCAGAAGUCUCUUCACCAGACUCCAUUCCUGGACCAUAUUCCUAGUGGGUAGGUCUUCCUCCCGCUAUGCCCAGAGGCCCACAUUCCAAGUAAUUUUGAUUCUGUCAAGCUGGUAAUUACCACUAACCACUGCAGUUAAUAAAGGAACAGUUUAAGAACCCAA
rnacentral:lncRNA from 1 species